GUGGGUCUCAGCUGCUGGAGCGGCGGUUUUGGCUCCAGAUCUAGUCGGUUCAAGGCGGUUUUUCGGCAGCUCACGGCGAGAUCCGACCCGGCGGUAGACACGGUAACCCCCCUCCAUUGUGUCUUCAUUUUAUCCUUACUUUUUCUCUCUUCUUUCUUAUUUUCUUCUCUCUUUUAUUUUUCUCUUUCGUUUUGGCCGGCGUUUUCCUUGGCGAUUUCCGGCGUCGGUUUGGUGGCUGCAGCCGCAGCAGUCGGCAUCGGUUCGGUGGCUG
rnacentral:lncRNA from 1 species